UGUCCUAAAUUUCUACCGUAAACGAUGACAACCAGCGAUUAGUCGGUGUUAAUAUACGACCCGACUAGCAGCUUCCGGGAAACCAAAGUUUUUCGUUUCCGGGGGAAGUAUGGUUGCAAAGCUGAAACUUAAAGGAAUUGACGGAAGGGCACCACCAGGAGUGGAGCCUGCGGCUUAAUUUGACUCAACACUGGAAAACUCACCCGGCCCGGACACCGUAAGGAUUGACAGACUGAGAGCUCUUUCUUAAUUCGGUGGGUGGUGGUGCAUGGCCGUUCUUAGUUGGUGGAGCGAUUUGUCUGGUUAAUUCCGAUAACGAACGAGACUCUGGCCUAUUAAAUAGUCGGUAUAUCCAGAAGAGUUUACCGUACUUCUUAAAGGGACAAACGUGCGUCCAUACGCGUGAAAUAGAGCAAUAAAUAGGUCUUUGAAUGCCCCUUAAA
rnacentral:rRNA from 1 species